UUAUACUGGUUUCAAAACUGGUACCUGGAACGAUACAUUGCAUAGAUUAGCAUGCCCCCUGCACAAGGAUGGCAUGCAAAUUCAUGAAGCAUUCUAUAUUUUU
ensembl:snRNA U6 U6 spliceosomal RNA